AAGUAAGUGCAUUUUAAUGGGGGGUUUUUGAUUAAUGGAUUUUUCUCUAUCUUCUUCCUUCUUCCAUCCUAAACAGUCAGCACCCUUCUUUCAUCAAAAAAAAAAAAAACCAGCCGCACGCCUCGUUCGUCGCACAGCCGCCGCCGUCCUCCACACCUUUGUGGAAUGAUACGAUAUGAAGAAAUCUUAUUUUGGAGGCAGAUUUUUGUUGCUUGCUAGGUAAUUUCUGAAAUCUCGUCGUCGAGAUAAGUGAAGGAUCGAUCGCCGAGGUUUGAGUGGCAGCCACUGCCUUGGACUGGUGAGAGCAUUAGGAAGAUCUCUGGUGGUGGUGGACUUUCCAACUUUAUCUGUUCCACAAAAAUGAGAAAAUUAACACUCAAUCAGUGAGAAAUCAAAUUCAGGUGAUUGAUUACAACGAUUUUCAUUUCUCAAGACUUGGAAUCAUGAAAUUGUGACUGGAUCGUCGUCAAGACCAGACCCAAGAAAUCGAAGAUAAAGUAAGCUUAUACUAGCAAGUGAAAUAUGAGAAAAUUGAGACACAACCUGAGAAACUGAGGUUAGUUGAUAUGCUAUAUGGAUUUUCUAUCUCUGUUAUGCUAUUAAUGCAACUUAACUUGUAAAUUUCUAUUUUAUGGUUUUAAUAAACUAGUAUAUUAGCAACUUGCAUACAUUUAUUUUAUUUUUAAUAUUUUCAAGAAAAAAUUAAGGUUACCUUCUUCAAAUGUUAA